UACGUAGGGCGCGAGCGUUGUCCGGCUUUAUUGGGCGUAAAGAGCUCGUAGGCGGCUUGUCGCGUCGUCCGUGAAAACCUGCGGCUCAACUGCAGGCUUGCGGUCGAUACGGGCAGGCUGGAGUUCGGUAGGGGAGACUGGAAUUCCUGGUGUAGCGGUGAAAUGCGCAGAUAUCAGGAGGAACACCGGUGGCGAAGGCGGGUCUCUGGGCCGAUAUUGACGCUGAGGAGCGAAAGCGUGGGGAGCGAACAGG
rnacentral:rRNA from 1 species